UGGGGAAUCUUGGACAAUGGGGGCAACCCUGAUCCAGCCAUGCCGCGUGAGUGAUGAAGGCCUUAAGGUCGUAAAGCUCUUUCGCCUGUGAAGAUAAUGACGGUAGCAGGUAAAGAAACCCCGGCUAACUCCGUGCCAGCAGCCGCGGUAAUACGGAGGGGGUUAGCGUUGUUCGGAAUUACUGGGCGUAAAGCGCACGUAGGCGGACCAGAAAGUUGGGGGUGAAAUCCCGGGGGCUCAACCCCGGAACUGCCUCCAAAACUAUUGGUCUAGAGUUCGAGAGAGGUGAGUGGAAUUCCAAGUGUAGAGGUGAAAAUUCGUAGAUAUUUGGAGGAACACCAGUGGCGAAGGCGGCUCACUGGCUCGAUACUGACGCUGAGGUGCGAAAAGUGUGGGGAGCAAAACAGGAUUAGAUACCCUGGUAGUCCACACCGUAAAACGAUGAAAUGCCAGUCGUCGGGGUAGCAUGCUAUUCGGUGACACACCU
rnacentral:rRNA from 1 species